CAGAUAAUCAAAGAGUCCCAACCUUGGGCUUCAGAAUCCACAGUGUUCAAGUGUAAGCUUUUGAAACAAGUCUACUUAGAUUGGAUUUUUUUUUUCAAAUUGCUAAAUCUCCUCAUUCAUCCUGAUCUUUGCAUCUGUAGUCAAUAGGAUUGUACAUAGAGGUUUGCUUCCUUACAGGUGCUGUGAGCAUGCACACUGAGGCUCAGUGAUGCUUCCGAGGGCUCUGCCUCCUUCGGAGUGAUUGUGCUUGCUGAAUUAGGCUGAGCCAAGUCUCGGGGUAGUCAGGGAGAUGGACAUAGAAGAGAACGACUUGAUGGAAUCUAGACGUGGGUCAUAGAAGAGACCUAUGUGUACAUGGAAAAGAAGAGCAUCUGUGUGUUUUCUGCAGAAGUAGCCUGCAUGCUGCAGAAAAAAGACAAUGAAAAAGUCUUGAGAGGACCUCCAGAUAUGAAGAAAGGAAGAUGUAGCUCCCUGACUCCUUGAGGGCAAAUGAAGGAUGAUCUAUGAGAGCUCCAAGCACAAAAUUAUAAGCUGAUAAAACAGCUGCCCUGCCCCACCUGCUGUCAUCAGUGAUCUUCUAGAAGCUGCUUGCAAAUUUGGCUUUCUGACAACUCGAGGCUUUCCAGCAGCCUCCCUACUGAUUUGCUUUCUGGCAGAGCUGAAAAGGUACCAGCCUGUAAUCAGAAGGUUUUGGCUCUGCAGCUUGAAAUCCAUAUGACUUCAUGUAGAAGUCUCUGCUUCCUUGUGUGCUAAAUAAGGGGAACAAUCUUUCCUCCUCUCUUGCUGACCUUACUGGGUUUGUGUGAAUUUCAGAGGCCAUAAAGAAUUUGAAAUCACUCUACAGCACAGAAAGUUCAGCAGGAGAAUAGAAGGUUGUAAUACAACUUUAUUUAUACCUUAGGCCCAGCUGUCUGAGGCUUUCCCCUGACUUUUCUUCAAGAUCAAAUUAAAUAUAAC
rnacentral:lncRNA from 1 species